GACGAACGCUGGCGGCGUGGAUUAGGCAUGCAAGUCGGACGGUAGGGCUUUAUCGUAAGAUAGAGUUUGAGAGUGGCGAACGGGUGAGUAACACGUAGGAAUCUACCCUUAAGACGGGGGACAACCCAGGGAAACUUGGGCUAAUACCGGAUGAGAGUGCGAGAGAUUGCAUUUUAAAAAGGAUGGCGAAAAGUUGUCGCUUAGGGAUGAGCCUGCGGUCUAUUAGUUAGUUGGUGAGGUAAGAGCUCACCAAGGCGAUGAUAGAUAGGCGGCCUUAACGGGUGGUCGCCCACACUGGGAUUGAGAUACGGCCCAGACUCCUACGGGAGGCAGCAGUGGGGAAUAUUGCGCAAUGGACGGAAGUCUGACGCAGCGACGCCGCGUGAGCGACGAAGGCCUUCGGGUCGUAAAGCUCUGUUCUUGGGGCGAAGGAAAUGACGGUACCCAAGGAGAAAGCCCCGGCUAACACGUGCCAGCAGCCGCGGUAAGAGUCAACGUCG
rnacentral:rRNA from 1 species